UACGUAGGGUGCAAGCGUUAUCCGGAAUUAUUGGGCGUAAAGAGCUCGUAGGCGGUUUGUCGCGUCUGCUGUGAAAACUGGAGGCUCAACCUCCAGCCUGCAGUGGGUACGGGCAGACUAGAGUGCGGUAGGGAGAUUGGAAUUCCUGGUGUAGCGGUGGAAUGCGCAGAUAUCAGGAGGAACACCAAUGGCGAAGGCAGAUCUCUGGGCCGUAACUGACGCUGAGGAGCGAAAGCAUGGGGAGCGAACAGG
rnacentral:rRNA from 1 species